rnacentral:lncRNA from 1 species
AUUUUACUCAACAAGUUAAAGAAGCAAUACAGCAAGAUGAUAACUUGUUAGAAAUUAUACAGAAAUGUCUACAGGGUUUAGCUCCAACAAACUAUACUGUGAGAGAAGGAAUUUUGUAUUGGAAACACAGAAUGGUAAUUCCACCAAAAGCAACAUUGAUACAACAAAUCCUUGAGGAGUUUCACACAUCACCUAUUGGUGGUCAUG